GUGCCAGCAGCCGCGGUAAUACAUAGGAGUCAAGCGUUAUCCGGAUUAACUGGGCUUAAAGAGCGUUGAGACGGCUUCGUAAGUUGACGUGAAGCUCCCGGCUUAACUGGGAGAGACCGUUCAAUACUGCGGGGCUUGAGGACAGCAGAAGGGGUUGGAAUUUCCGGUGUACUGGUGAAAUGCGUAGAUAUCGGAAGGAACACCAGUGGCGAAGGCGGCCCCAUGGGCUGCUCCUGACGCUGAAGGCGAAAGCUAGGGUAGCGAACGGGAUUAGAAACCCCGGUAGUCCUAGCCGUAAACGAUGGAUACUAGGUGUAGGAGGUUAAAAUUCCUUCUGUGCCGGAGCUAACGCGUUAAGUAUCCCGCCUGGGGAGUACGGUCGCAAGGCUAAUACUCAAAGGAAUUGACGGGGGCCCGCACAAGCAGCGGAGCGUGUGGUUUAAUUCGAUGCAACGCGAAGAACCUUACCAGGGCUUGACAUGUAGGUAGUAGUGAAGCGAAAGCGGAACGAUCCUUCGGGAAGCCUACACAGGUGCUGCAUGGCUGUCGUCAGCUCGUGCCGUGAGGUGUUAGGUUAAGUCCUGUAACGAGCGCAACCCCUGCCGUUAGUUACAAGUGUCUAACGGGACUGCCCGGCAAAACUGGGAGGAAGGUGGGGAUGACGUCAAGUCAGCAUGGCCUUUAUGUCCUGGGCUACACACACGCUACAAUGGCCGGUACAAUGGGUUGCCAAGCCGCGAGGCGGAGCCAAUCCUCUAAAGCCGGUCUCAGUUCGGAUUGUAGGCUGCAACCCGCCUGCAUGAAGUUGGAGUUGCUAGUAACCGCAGGUCAGCCACACUGCGGUGAUACGUUCCCGGCAUGUACACACCGCCCGUCACGUCAUGAAGCUGGUACACCUGAAGCCGGUGAACUACCGCAAGGAAGCAACCGUCGAAGGUGGG
rnacentral:rRNA from 1 species